GUCGAGCUAAGUAACAUGAGCUUGUAACCCAUGUGGGGACAUUUAGAUGGUGGAACACUGGUUCGGGUCCACGGGCCGGUUCUGUUGUUGGCAUGUUUCUGGGCUGCCCAGUCCAAGCUGUGAGUAAGACGUGUGUGUCAAGCGAAGGCUUGGCUCAAACGGCUUCUAAAGUUGGAGGGUAAUGCGUGAGGCUGGUUUCACAGAGCAGCGACUACUUCCCGCUUACAGCAGUGGACGGAUCACAGUUUAGCGUCGCUCAGAACCACUAUGGCCUGCUGGUCCGAUCUCAUAUGAACCACCAUUU
rnacentral:SRP_RNA from 14 species